rnacentral:lncRNA from 1 species
GCUCCCUCACCAAAAGGGGGGCAAAACUUGACCAAAUAAUUGAAAAAAAAAUUAGAAUAUUGGAUUGUAGCACUUUCCUUUCCCAUUAUUGGAUCCUGGAUUCCCGGGCAGGACGAGCCUCUCCCAGCUCUGUCAUUCCCAGACCCGGGUUGUAGCAGUAACCCUCAGUGAGAUCUUGCACCGAGGACUCACCAUCCCCCAGGAGCUGAAAAGGACGGGACAGGACUGUGCCAAGCUCCAUCCUCUGUGGAUAGACCAUCAACAGGCACACCUUCGUUUGCUGGACACGGCCCGGUUGUGA